AAAUCAACUCAAGCACUUUUGCGUGGUCAUGGAGGAAGAGCCUGCCUUGUUGCGGUGUCUCCCCUCCCAAAAUCAACGGCGGAAAGUCACUGGCACUCGGCGUAGUAGUAUCAUUCGCCGAUCAUCCAGUGUCCUUCCUGCCGCCAAACCCCCACAAUUCUCUC
rnacentral:misc_RNA from 1 species